GGAAUUUUGCGCAAUGGGGGAAACCCUGACGCAGCAACGCCGCGUGAGUGAAGAAGCAUCUUGGUGUGUAAAGCUCUGUCGACAGGGAAUAAGAUGGAGAGGUUAAGAGCUGUACCAUUUGAAUGUACCUGUAGAGGAAGCCCCGGCUAACUCCGUCACAGCAGCCGCGGUAAUACGGAGGGGGCCAGCGUUAUUCGGAAUUACUGGGCGUAAAGGGCGCGUAGGUGGUUGUGUAAGUGGGAAGUGAAAGCCCUCGGCUUAACCGGGGAACGGCUUUUCAAACUGCACAACUUGAGGAUGGGAGAGGAAAGUGGAAUUCCAGGUGUAGCGGUGAAAUGCGUAGAGAUCUGGAGGAACACCAGUGGCGAAGGCGGCUUUCUGGACCAUACCUGACACUGAGGCGCGAAAGCGUGGGGAGCAAAC
rnacentral:rRNA from 1 species